rnacentral:lncRNA from 1 species
AUAAAAUGAUAUAAGGUACAUUGACAUGUCAUUGCUUACUACAACAUAACAUACAACACCAAUACAGAAUACAACAGAAUAAAUGAUAUAACAUAACAUGGUUAAACAUACAGUCCAGUAAUUAUGAAUGGUAAAUACUUAUAAUGAUAUAAGCUUAUAAUGACCAAGUAUAGUCUCAAAUGGCUUUCUCACUUUCAUAUUGUAUACUUGGCACACUUCCUCCAUGAGGCCAGUAAUAUAGUUGGGAGGUUAGCAUUGAUAAUAGUUCUGCCAUGUUUCUUUCUCUCUAUCUCUGUCGUCUCCAUUAAUGUCAACGCACUAUUAGUCUUGUACUGCUCUCACUAUUUUAGCCUCAUUCCAUUUAACAUCUACAUCAUUCUCAUAUACUUUGGUAGCAAGGGCAGUAAUUUGUUUGUCUUGAUAUC